AUACCCUGAAGCUGCUGCUCUGUUAGGCCGAGCUCCAUUCGGGUACUUUCGAUCUCUAGGACUAAAAAAGUACCAUUCCUUCUCUCCAAACGCAGCCUUAGCUGGUAAGUCCCAUGAUCAAACUUGUAGAUAUCAACAUCUGCAAUGAUGGAAACAGGAAAGGGUAUAGAUGCAAUCUUCUUUUUAAGGUACUGGAGGAUGAGCUCCUCAUCUGUGGGGUGGAACCUAAAACCCGGUGGCAAGCUUGAUUGUGGGUUCUUCAUGCCUAUAUCUAAUUGAAACUAUGAACCCCACACUCAAUCAAGACAGGUUAUAAGCAAGCAAAAGCUAGCGAAAGAGGGAG
rnacentral:misc_RNA from 1 species